rnacentral:misc_RNA from 1 species
GAUGAAGAACGCAGCGAAAUGCGAUAAGUAAUGUGAAUUGCAGAAUUCAGUGAAUCAUCGUAUCUUUGAACGCACAUUGCGCCCGCCAGUAUUCUGGCGGGCAUGCCUGUCUGAGCGUCAUUUCAACCCUCAUGCCCCUAGGGCGUGGUGUUGGGGAUCGGCCAAAGCCCGCGAGGGACGGCCGGCCCCUAAAUCUAGUGGCGGACCCGUCGUGGCCUCCUCUGCGAAGUAGUGAUAUUCCGCAUCGGAGAGCGAUGAGCCCCUGCCGUUAAACCCCCAACUUUCCAAGGUUGACCUCAGAUCAGGUAGGAAUACCCGCUGAACUUAAGCAUAUCAAUAAGCGGAGGA